rnacentral:rRNA from 1 species
UACGGGGGGAGCAAGCGUUGUUCGGAUUUACUGGGCGUAAAGGGCGCGUAGGCGGUCGUGACAAGUCACUUGUGAAAUCUCCGGGCUUAACUCGGAACGGUCAAGUGAUACUGUCGGACUAGAGUACAGAAGGGGCAACUGGAAUUCUCGGUGUAGCGGUGAAAUGCGUAGAUAUCGAGAGGAACGCCGGUGGCGAAAGCGAGCUGCUGGAUCCCUCCUGACGCUGAGGCGCGAAAGCCAGGGGAGCGAACGGG